AGUGCAGCCGAGUUCUCAUCGCGCGAGAGUUGGGAGUGUCCGCUGUGGGCGGGAGCGAUGCGCUCCCUCAGAGGCAGUGCGGUAUAUGAAUAAUGAGAGGAUAAAUAUAGAUGUAAAACACUCCAUCUGCUGUUGCCUAGAUUACUUUCACCCUCCUACAUGUAACAUCCUGAGUUGUUAAGAGACCAGCAGCUCUGUUCUAGGGAUGCUGCCGUCCAGUAGAAUGAAUGAUCUUCAUUCAGUACCUGCAGACAGCUGUUGCUGUGCCAGCAUUAUCUGUGUUACAGCUGAAACUGUGUGCAUAACUGGGACAUCACAGCUUUCUUCUGACAGUCACUCCUUGCACACCAUCUCUGCGGGGUGUUGGAUGACCAGGAGUGCAUCCCAUUGUCCCCAGGCAGGAACCAGCCCUGGGAUGUGGACACAUUCAUUACCACUGUGAAAAGAUUUCGACUCGCUUUGUGAGUCCUUGUGUCUAUUUAUAUAUGGAAUUUAAAGGCAAGGAUGGUGGCAGGUUGGCCUUACAGUGAAGUUUGUGGCUAGUGAGGAUGCAGAGGAACACAGGGAAGACAUUGCUGGCUUCACUUCAGUUGCAACUGAAGACCUGCAGCAUUCUGCUCAGACUGGAUCCCGCUGGAGGUGACUGGCAGGCAGUAUUCCCUGCACAUGGUGAGAACAGAGAGCGAGAACAUCGCCUCUAUCACAUGAAUACAGAUUAGAGAACUUGGCUCCCAGAGCUGCUGUCUAAUCUGGCAGCUAAAGUCACUGCAUAACACUGAAAGAAAUAAAAGUGAAUUUCUUACUGUAGUUGCAUUGCAAUUUUCAAAUAAUGUAUUUCAGAAGAUGGCAGAGAAUACUGACAGCCUGACUGUAACCCUUAGGAAAUAGCAGAACAGCAUACAAUGAUUAUUAGGCACUUCAUUAACCUCUAUGGAAGCAGUAUUUGUUAUUAACUGGCUCAGACCUUUCAGUGGCCAGCUACAGCCACUAAUGGGUCUGGGAACCACGUCCAGUUUUGGUUCUUUCUACCAAAUAUUGAAAGUACCAUCAGUUUGUCUGGAGGAGCAUAGAGGUAAAUAGGAAACUAAUUUUGGA